GGGCCGGUGGUCUAGCCUGGUAUGACGCCACCCUGACUCGGUGGAAAUCCCCGGUUCGAGUCCGGGCCGGCCCA
rnacentral:tRNA from 3 species